GGACCCCCGGCUGAGCCCCCCCGGGCCGGAGCGGCGGCCACAGAGAGCCUCGGCCACGCGGGUGUGACCUCAGGUGUGCCCCCCAGUCCAGGCAAUAAACGGAAUUUCGGUG